UACGGAGGAUCCGAGCGUUAUCCGGAUUUAUUGGGUUUAAAGGGUGCGCAGGCGGGAGAUUAAGUCGGCGGUGAAAUUUUGCAGCUUAACUGUAAAAGUGCCUUCGAAACUGGUUUCCUUGAGUGUAGAUGAAGUAGGCGGAAUUUGUGGUGUAGCGGUGAAAUGCAUAGAUAUCACGAGGAACUCCGAUUGCGCAGGCAGCUUACUAAACUACUACUGACGCUCAGGCACGAAGGCGUGGGGAUCAAACAGGAUUAGAUACCCGCGUAGUCCCU
rnacentral:rRNA from 1 species